UACGUAGGGUGCGAGCGUUUGUCCGGAAUUAUUGGGCGUAAAGAGCUUGUAGGCGGUUUGUCGCGUCUGCCGUGAAAAUUCGAGGCUCAACCUCGAACUUGCGGUGGGUACGGGCAGACUAGAGUGUGGUAGGGGAGACUGGAAUUCCUGGUGUAGCGGUGAAAUGCGCAGAUAUCAGGAGGAACACCGAUGGCGAAGGCAGGUCUCUGGGCCACUACUGACGCUGAGAAGCGAAAGCAUGGGGAGCGAGCAGG
rnacentral:rRNA from 1 species